rnacentral:rRNA from 1 species
AUUGAACGCUGGCGGCAGGCCUAACACAUGCAAGUCGAACGAGUGGCGGACGGGUGAGUAAUGUCUGGGAAACUGCCUGAUGGAGGGGGAUAACUCCUGGAAACGGUAGCUAAUACCGCAUACCAUCGGAUGUGCCCAGAUGGGAUUAGCUAGUAGGUGGGGUAACGGCUCACCUAGGCGACGAUCCCUAGCUGGUCUGAGAGGAUGACCAGCCACACUGGAACGGAGACACGGGCCAGACUCAUACGGGAGGCAGAAGUGGGGAAUAUUGCACAAUGGGCGCAAGCCUGAUGAAGCCAUGCCGCGGGUGUGAAGAAGGCCUUCGGGUUGUAAAGUACUUUCAGCGGGGAGGCGUUACCCGCAGAAGAAGCACCGGCUAACUCCGUGCCAGCAGCAGCGGUAAUAC